rnacentral:rRNA from 1 species
UACGGAGGGGGCUAGCGUUGUUCGGAAUUACUGGGCGUAAAGCGCGCGUAGGCGGACCUGCAAGUCGGGGGUGAAAGCCCGAGGCUCAACCUCGGAACUGCCUUCGAUACUGCGGGUCUCGAGUCCGGGAGAGGAGACUGGAAUUCAUGGUGUAGCAGUGAAAUGCGUAGAGAUCAUGAGGAAGACCAGUGGCGAAGGCGGGUCUCUGGACAGUUCCUGACACUGAGACACGAAGGCCAGGGGAGCAAACGGG